UACGUAGGGGCCGAGCGUUGUCCGGAGUUAUUGGGCGUAAAGCGCGCGCAGGCGGCUUCGCGCGCCCGACGUGAAAGCCCCCGGCUUAACCGGGGAGAGUCGUUGGGGACGGCGGAGCUUGAGGGCGGGAGAGGUCGGUGGAAUUCCCGGUGUAGUGGUAAAAUGCGUAGAGAUCGGGAGGAACACCUGUGGCGAAGGCGGCCGACUGGGCCGACCCUGACGCUGAGGCGCGAAGGCGUGGGGAGCGAACGGG
rnacentral:rRNA from 1 species